rnacentral:misc_RNA from 1 species
GCAUUCAUCUCUGCCCAUCUUUUCCAAUGAGGAAAGCAGGUUUCCUUGGGUGUGAUGUCUUCAGGGUCCCAGCAGUCUGCAAUGAUCUUGGUCUUUGAGAGUAGUGGAUCAAAAGCAAUUGCUUCAACCAAGGGAGGGCGAGAUAAAAUUUCACCAUGAAACCCUCUCUGUAGAAAUGAAGCAUUUAUAAAACAGAAACCAUCAAUGUGAAA